UCUGCAAGAACAGGAUGAUGGGGCAGAAAUGAAGUUAAACUGUUUAAGAAAAUUAUUUUCUUAGUAACUGUAACAAAGGAAAAAACACAGUGGAAAGAACACUGCAAGAAAAAAAAAAAUCCUUCAAUGAUAGCUGUGCAAAUUAAAACAAGUACCUGGAAUUUAACUCUGCUUUGGAAUGAAAACAAAAUUGUGAUUGGUGAGGCUAAAAGUGAUAGUUAUAGCAAAGGGUUUAAAUUGUCUGAAAGACAGAUGCCUGAACUUUUGUUGUUGUCUGCCAUGGCCUUACGAUACAACAUGAAGGAAAACAUAAGCACUUUAAAGGUACUAUCUUAGUGCUGUCCAUUUUUCAAAGCCAUGGUGACUAUAAAUCCCCCAUACCAAAAAUCCAUGUGGAUCAAGCUAUCGUUUGGAAGUGAUUGAGGGUAUAUGAAUCUCAUUUAAACAGAACUCUGGCAUGCAAACAUUUCCUUAGUUUGUCUGAAUGUGAUAUUCUGCAGCUGCCCAAGAGCAGAAUGCAUGAAAAGCAUGUUACAAGUCACAUGAAAGUUUGACAGUGUGGGCAAUGGCACUUCAUUAAUUCCUACAAGAUUUCUGUCUUGUACUGGUGAACCAUCUGACUGUUGAAUUCAAAGAACUCAGAAGUGAUCACAGUGCUCUAAGGCACAGAGAAAGUAGAACUCCCCUCUCCUUCCUUGAAACUUUGCAUGCAUCGCUGUUUGGUAAAAUACCAGAUAAAGUAAUCCCAAAGAGCAUUAAAAGGUAUCUGAGAAGGCUUUUAGCUUUUCUGACUUCAUAUGUAAUGAAGUUAUCAGUCAGUACUAUGAAAAGAGAAACUUAUUUUCUUCUUCUGAGACAACUGUCCUUUCCAUGCAGGUGCAAAAGGAAGUGGGGACACAGAGGAAGGAUUUGCCCUUCUUACAACCUGCUUCAAUUUAUUAAGCAAAGAAGCAGGACAAAGAAUUUUCACCUGCUGCUUCUAAAGAAUAUCUCCUGACACUUCCAUAGAAAAGUGGGAGGUCCCUGAAACUUAAGGAAGAGAAGACAGUAAGGGGAUCUUCAUUUAAUGAGAUGUGCUAAAUAAGUUGGACUGAAAAGGGCAAUUUUAUGUGUUGGACUUCCAUUUUGAAGAAGAACCUGUGGAUUGGCAUGGACAGCAUCACCCCAGGCUGGUCCUUCCAGUACCUGUCUCGUCCCUGACACCCUUUGGAAAACUCCCCAGUGCCCAUUCCUCUGCAGCAGGUGCCAGGAGAACCGCUGCCUGUGAUCAGAAAUUUGGCUGUGCCAGGAACAUUGUAGUUCUGUAUGCACAUAUGGUGCUUUAAUUCAAACAGAGAAAUCAGGAAUAUGAGACUGAGCUACCAAAUAAAAUAUAUUAUUUAAUUAUUUCAUAGAAACUUUUUUUUUGUUUUUCCUUUUGAUUACAGCAAUAAAAUAUGAGGGUCAGAAGCCCUUUCUUCUGAAACUGACUUCCUUCAGUCUCCAGCAUAAAUGUAUAUAGGAUCAGUUUCAACUUAUUUCGCCUUGGGCCAGCCUGGCCAUUCAGGAUUUCAGAGCUCACACCAUAGUCAUGUACAGUAAUUGUACUCCUCUCAGCUUUCAUUUUGUGCAACCAAGUAUGACAAGCUUCUGUAGUUUUGACUUCUUUCCUUUUAAGAUAUAGUUAUACCCUUAAAAAAGUCUGCAAAUUACAACACAGAACAGUUUCAAACAAUCAGCAUUACAGUAAGGGAAAAUAAUGUAGUAGAACAUUCAAACCAAAAUGUCUUUAACUGUGUUAUGUGUCUAUAUUUUUUGUCUAUUUUCCUGACUUUUUUUAUUGUCUUCCAAAGUGUGGGAGGCACACACCUCUAUGAAUUUUACUUUAUUAUUUUUUCCUUACGGUCGAACACUAUUUUGAUAGUGAUAACAAUUUGGCUGUGAAAUCAAAUGCACAUUGUUAUUAGUACUACUGACUUUUGCAUUCUCAUGUGCUAAUUUACUGUGCUAUUCUUUGGAGAUUUGUCACUUCCAUACUUUUUUAUUUUAAAGCUAUCAUUAAUUUAUCAUUAUAACACCUUCAGCAGCUUUCUUUUCUGAAUGCAGCCCCCCGCAUGACAAAGAAAUUCUAUCUUUGUAUUCUGAUUUGGUUCCUGAAUGGAACUAAGUACACAAAGAAUAAAAAUACAUGGAAAUUACAAACAAAUAAUCAUAUUUCCUUAUGCUGUUUUGUCUCUUGUGAAUGACAUGAGUAGACAGGAAGCUCUAAAACACUAUGAAUUAUUGUUUUAAGCUUUAUAGAAAUACUAUUUUAUACAAACAAAACAGCAGUGUAACAAACACAGAAGCAAAGACUUGGAUUAUAAUCUCUGAUCCUGCAUUGCAUGUGCAUACUUUUUGCAUUAAUCAGUACUCCCAUCAUAAGCAAUAGGGCUCUUCAGAUCCUGCAAAAAUGUUUAUAUGUCCAGAGCUAAAAUAGUAGCUCCUGUUUAGGCACCUUAGUCACAUUAAAUUUUGUGAAUCGGGAAAGGUUUUUGAAUAUUCUGUUAUAAAUCUGGCCUUAAGUGUUUUGCAGAAUCAGAGCCUUGACAGACAUGUCUUCUUCCUUUUUCACUUGACUAACAGAAACAGUGAUGUACAACAUGGCAAAUUAGGAUAUUACCAGAAUAAUGACUUUUCUUGGUUUUGUGCAUUUAGAAACUCAAGCAAAAUAUUAAACUAGAAAAGCAUGCAUUAUAUUUUCUUUGACAUUUUCCCCUUUAAUGAAGAAGGAAAAAUUGUUAUGAUCAUCUAUUCCAAAAUUAGAUAACCUAGAGCAAACGGGAAAAAUUUGUACUGAAUUUCGAGAACCCAUAAUUUGCACUACUGUAGGGAGUUCCUGAAAUAAACACUCUGCAUUCAUUUCUGCAUGCUAGACUGUAGAUACAUACCCACUCAGACACUGAGUGCCUACUUGUCAGAACUCCUGAGCAAUGCAAACACAAGCUGAAACCAAAAGGAGCUGCGACUGUGUAGACUCUAUCAAAACACAGGAAAAUCAGAAUCUUUAUUCACAAAACAGUUAGACUCAGACUGUAGCUGCUCCAGCACAAGUGUGUACCACUACACCUAUGUCCUCACUACCUGAGAUUUCUGUAUUUCAUUCAAUUUAUGUUCAUAAAGAAGUGGCAGAAUAGAGAGAAUAGGAGAUUCCCCGUUCUGAUGACAGCAGUUUUUCUGCAUAAAAACUGUUGCUAUAGCAAGUGACCAUAUUAAAUGUCUUAAUAUUGAGGAAGUAUUAAUGAAAUACAGCCUGACUUCACUAUAAGGAAACCAUAUGAUACCAUAUAUAUAUGGUAUCAUAUUCCCUGAUAUAUAUAUAUAUAUGUUCUAUCAAGCUGUUCAUUUCUUCAGCCUCUGGUAAAUUGCUGCUUGAGAAUAAGAAAGAAAUGAGCAGCUGAGCAGAACAUCAAUAAGCAGUACUUCUGUGGAAAUGACUUCACACUGAUCAACAUUUAAAAGAUGUUUUUUCAAAAAGAUAAAUGAAUGAAGAAGGAAAAAAAUAGUACAUUCAAAUGCUAAAUACAGCCUACACUGAGAAAAGUGAGAAAAAUGUCAUUGUCAUACUUGGAAUACACUUGCAUAACUGUUCAGGCUAUUAGGCCUAAUUAACAGCAAGUGAACAGAUUCUUGCUAUGGGGGUGUUUAUAGGCAGAAUAUGUUAAAUUCAGAGUUUGACACAUUGAAGUUAGAAUUUAGUCAGAUUUAGGCUAGUGUAAAUUUACAUAGAAGACACAUUUCUGCUCUGAAAAGGAAGUAUGAACUAAAUAUUUUUGGAAUGCUAAUUCUGAAUGCUAAUCUUAAUGAUGAAAAAGAAAUCGUGCACUUUUCAUGGGAUAAAUCCAAUAAUAUAAAAUAUCAAAUUAUUCUCAUAUAUGUCUGGGUAAAUAAAUACAGUUGAAAUAUUCUAACAAAGGUUUAUAAUUCCUGGAGUUGUUCUUUCUUUUAGUUUUGCUUUGGUAUUGCUAGCAGGCAAUACUAGUUAGCUAGUAGGGAAUGCUCCAAACUUGUACAUUAUGAAAGCGCAGGCAUAAUUUUAACUUUCAUAAGUGAAAAGUGACUCUCGACCUGCAGAACUUGUCAGGUAAAGCUAAUACAGCUGUUGUCAUGAAUAAUUCAAACAACUCACUUCAGACACAGUAUGACAGAGCUGACUUCACAGUGGUAACCUCUGUAAAUACUGUCAGAAAACAGAUAAAUUAACUAUUAGUGAGUAAAACUUCCAGUCUUUGGGAAGCAAAAGUUGCUAAAUUCUUGAUUAACCUGGCUUACAAAACUUCUCACCAGGCCUUUUUUUUUCCCCUGAGAAUGCAUAAUUUUUAAAACCUUAGUAACUUCUUGCUAUGUUUCAAAUGCAACUUAAAUUAGAGCUAUGAAUAACUACGGACUGUAAAGAAUGUUCCCAGAUUCCCAGAAUCAGGCCUGCAGGCUAAUUUAUUCUGAUUUAAGUCCCAGUACUGAAACUGAAUAAUCUAUAGUCCUAACCCAAAUGUAUACAAUACUGUUUAGGUCCUGAAUGUACAAAUUCCCACAGCAUAUCUACAUGUGUGAGUGCUUCUCUUUAACUCUGAUCAUUAACUACAUAAAUACAACAUUUCUUAAUUCUUGUACGACAGAAUUCAAAUCAUUUCAGAAUAAUGAAAUGUUACAUAUAAAUAUAUCUAAGGUUUUAAAAUUCUUAUGACUGGAAGGAAAAUGUGCUGAAUGAGCUAGUAAGGAACAAAGAGAACAUAUGUAUUGAAGUGUUGACUGGUAGGUGGAUGGAAAACAGACAAGCUCAAAGUCUUUAAAAAAAUCAGUACUUUGGAAUGAUGUUUUGUUGCUAACAGAAAAACAAGUAAGACCUUAACAGGCAAAUAUUAAUAUCUGUAAAAAUGACAGAAAUGGCAACCAAAAGGAAAGAAGGAAUUGUGAAAGUGCCCAAGACUCGUAGGCUUACUGGGCAACAGUACAACAGUGUUGGAAAUAUGAUUCUGUUGGCAGUUUGUCACAUUCUUGUCUACAAUUUUAAUAUCAAUUUUGUACUGAUGACUGUUUGAAAGACAACAUAAUGACCUUAAAUGCUUAUUAGGUGAUUUCUGUAAUUACUGCAGACCUGCUCAUAUUAAUAAUCUAGAACUUCUUUUGCAGGAACUCUUCCUUCCUGAUCCUGCAACUCACGACAUAGGAUCAAGUCCCUUUGACUUCACCAGGAGCCCAACAGAAGAAUUUUCUCAUUACUAGAGAAGUUCACUAAAUUUAUUCCCUUGCCGGGAACUAAAGAACUUUUAGUAUUUCUCUCUCUAAUGGAGUAUUUGUUCUUUUACUAGACAUUAUCCUUUACUUGGUUGCUGAUUUUCAUGGAGAAAAAAGAUUUUUUUUUUUUACAAUUUAA